UACGGAGGAUGCAAGCGUUGUCCGGAAUUACUGGGCGUAAAGAGCUCGUAGGCGGUCUGUCGCGUCUGCUGUGAAAACUCAGGGCUUAACCCUGAGCUUGCAGUGGGUACGGGCAGACUAGAGUGCGGUAGGGGAGACUGGAAUUCCUGGUGUAGCGGUGAAAUGCGCAGAUAUCAGGAGGAACACCGGUGGCGAAGGCGGGUCUCUGGGCCGUAACUGACGCUGAGGAGCGAAAGCAUGGGGAGCGAACAGG
rnacentral:rRNA from 1 species